UAGCGAAAUUCCUUGUCGGGUAAGUUCCGACCUGCACGAAUGGCGUAACGAUGGCGGCGCUGUCUCCACCCGAGACUCAGUGAAAUUGAAAUCGCUGUGAAGAUGCAGUGUAUCCGCGGCUAGACGGUAAAGACCCCGUGAACCUUUACUGUAGCUUUGCACUGGACUUUGAGCCUGCUUGUGUAGGAUAGGUGGGAGGCUUUGAAGCGUGGACGCCAGU
rnacentral:rRNA from 1 species